UACAGAACCCGCAAGCGUUAUCCGGAUUUAUUGGGCGUAAAGUGUUCGUAGGCUGUUUGGAAAGUCUGGUUUUAAACUCCUCGGGCUUAACCCGGGGGCUGAACUGGAAACUUCCAGACUUGAAGAUGUUAGGGGCUAUCGGAACGCACGGUGUAGGGGUGAAAUCCGUUGAUAUCGUGCGGAACACCAAAAGCGAAGGCAGAUAGCUGGGACAAUCUUGACGCUGAGGAACGAAAGCGUGGGGAGCAAAAAGG
rnacentral:rRNA from 1 species